GCUCGUAGUUGGAUUUCUGGCAUGGGGUCACUGGCCCGGCAUCCUAGUGGUGCUGUGUUGUCGGCUGGCCUCUGCCAUCUUUUCGGAAAAACCAGUCUGCCCUUCACUGGGUUGGGCUGGCGAUUCCGAUCGUUUACUUUGAAAAAAUUAGAGUGUUCAAAGCAGGCUUAAUGCUGUGAAUACAUUAGCAUGGAAUAAUAAGAUAGGACUUUGGUCUUAUUUUGUUGGUUUCUAGGACUGAAGUAAUGAUUGAUAGGGAUAGUUGGGGGUGCUCGUAUUCAGGGGCCAGAGGUGAAAUUCUAUGAUUCCCUGAAGACGAACUUAUGCGAAAGCAUUCACCAAGGAUGUCUUCUUUAAUCAAGAACGAAAGUUGGGGGAUCGAAGACGAUCAGAUACCGUCGUAGUCUCAACCAUAAACGAUGCCGACUCGGGAUCGGUGGACGUUGUCUAAUGACUCCAUCGGCACCGUAUGAGAAAUCAUAAGUCUUUGGGUUCCGGGGGGAGUAUGGUCGCAAGGCUGAAACUUAAAGGAAUUGACGGAAGGGCACACCAGGAGUGGAGCCUGCGGCUUAAUUUGACUCAACACGGGAAAAC
rnacentral:rRNA from 1 species